UACGGAGGGUGCAAGCGUUAUCCGGAUUUACUGGGCGUAAAGAGCGUGUAGGCGGCCAAGCAGGUCCGUUGUGAAAACUGGAGGCUUAACCUCCAGACGUCGACGGAAACCGCGUGGCUAGAGUCCGGAAGAGGAGAGUGGAAUUCCUGGUGUAGCGGUGAAAUGCGCGGAUAUCAGGAAGAACACCAAUGGCGAAGGCAGCUCUCUGGGACGGUACUGACGCUGAGACGCGAAAGCGUGGGGAGCGAACAGG
rnacentral:rRNA from 1 species